AGGUCUUCAUGAUGGUCUACAACAGUAUCACAUCAGCAUUCGUGGGAUUAUGCCUGCUUGCCGUGCUGUUCCCAUUUGUGCACUGCAAGGGAGCCGGCGUUGCGACACUCAUUACGAUUGCGUAUCAGACAUUACAUGUCAGCCGAAUAAUCAGAAGCGGAAGAAAACCUCCAAGAAUGGAUGUCAGUUUGGAUUACUGCCCCGAAAACCAGACCAGCAUCGUUGAAGCCUUGGACAGGAGUCGAGACGCACUUGAAAGCACGGAUGAGUCUUUCAUUCUCUUCCGUGUCUCAUACAUGUGGACAAGUUUCUUUGCAAUAUUUGCAGUUGUCAUCAUCGGUGUGCUUGUGAGCUGUCUUACAG